CAGUGAAUGUGUUGUAAAUUGUAAAGUGCCUAGUAAAACAUUUUUAAUUUUUGGUCGAUGGAUUAAUCAAAACAAAAUGUUUUUUGUACGUUUACUUUUUUAUCAUCUCACUUGACUUAUGGAUCUGCACACAGUAGACUUUAGGCUGGAGCUCUUUCCGCUUCUCCAUAUGUUGUCCCACAGCACUAUUUCUCUCAAGGACGAAAUCACUUUUUUCCCUCAAAGUACUCUCCCUCAAAGUAUGCCCUGCGGUCCAAAAAACGUAUGUAACCAAUCAAAUCCUGAAAUUACUGACGUCCGGCUGACUCUGACCUCAGUCAUUCUUAAAGAAGAACGAUUCGAAAGACCGGGGUUUGAGGUCAUCAAGAACACCGCUAAAAUUAUUCCAGAUCGAAGGGAAGUAUUGAUGUCUUUGUUUUAUCCGCUCUACUAAAAGUAAAAUGGCAUUUAGCGUUGUACAUUUGCUAAUGACCGAUGAAGUGGCUGUCGUCCAAGCAAAUGAGUGUCAGAUGAUAAAAAGGGACAUGUAACUGGCCUUCGUAUAAAGAAAGAAGUCACAUGAAAAGAGCAAUUCUGGAACACAGAGAACCAGAUACAUCCUGAGAGAAUUUUUAUAUUGUUAUCCUGGGAGAAUAUUGUGCUUUCAAAGAAAAUCGGGCCACCAGAGAGGUACCUU